rnacentral:rRNA from 1 species
UACGUAGGGACCGAGCGUUGUCCGGAAUCAUUGGGCGUAAAGAGCGUGUAGGCGGCCAGGUAGGUCAGCUGUGAAAACUCGAGGCUCAACCUCGAGACGUCGGUUGAAACCACCUGGCUAGAGUCCGGAAGAGGAGAGUGGAAUUCCUGGUGUAGCGGUGAAAUGCGCAGAUAUCAGGAGGAACACCGGUGGCGAAGGCGGUCAUCCUGGGAC